rnacentral:rRNA from 1 species
CAGAAGGGGAUAACACUUGGAAACAGGUGCUAAUACCGUAUAACACUAUUUUCCGCAUGGAAGAAAGUUGAAAGGCGCUUUUGCGUCACCGAUGGAUGGACCCGCGGUGCAUUAGCUAGUUGGUGAGGUAACGGCUCACCAAGGCCACGAUGCAUAGCCGACCUGAGAGGGUGAUCGGCCACACUGGGACUGAGACACGGCCCAGACUCCUACGGGAGGCAGCAGUAGGGAAUCUUCGGCAAUGGACGAAAGUCUGACCGAGCAACGCCGCGUGAGUGAAGAAGGUUUUCGGAUCGUAAAACUCUGUUGUUAGAGAAGAACAAGGAUGAGAGUAAAAUGUUCAUCCCUUGACGGUAUCUAACCAGAAAGCCACGGCUAACUACGUGCCAGCAGCCGCGGUAAUACGUAGGUGGCAAGCGUUGUCCGGAUUUAUUGGGCGUAAAGCGAGCGCAGGCGGUUUCUUAAGUCUGAUGUGAAAGCCCCCGGCUCAACCGGGGAGGGUCAUUGGAAACUGGGAGACUUGAGUGCAGAAGAGGAGAGUGGAAUUCCAUGUGUAGCGGUGAAAUGCGUAGAUAUAUGGAGGAACACCAGUGGCGAAGGCGGCUCUCUGGUCUGUAACUGACGCUGAGGCUCGAAAGCGUGGGGAGCGAACAGGAUUAGAUACCCUGGUAGUCCACGCCGUAAACGAUGAGUGCUAAGUGUUGGAGGGUUUCCGCCCUUCAGUGCUGCAG